UGGGGAAUAUUGGACAAUGCGCGCAAGCCUGAUCCAGCCAUGCCGCGUGUGUGAAGAAGGCCUUUUGGUUGUAAAGCACUUUAAGCGUGGAGGAGGCUACUUGGAUUAAUACUCUAGGAUAGUGGACGUUACUCGCAGAAUAAGCACCGGCUAACUCUGUGCCAGCAGCCGCGGUAAUACAGAGGGUGCGAGCGUUAAUCGGAUUUACUGGGCGUAAAGCGUUCGUACGCGGCUUUUUAAGUCGGAUGUGAAAUCCCUGAGCUUAACUUAGGAAAUGCAUUGGAUACUGGGAAGCUAGAGUAUGGGAGAGGAUGGUAGAAUUCCAGGUGUAGCAGUGAAAUGCGUAGAGAUCUGGAGGAAUACCGAUGGCAAAGGCAGCCAUCUGGACUAAAAAUGACGCUAAGGUACGAAAGAAUGGGGAGCAAACAGG
rnacentral:rRNA from 1 species